UACUCCCUCCCUCCGUCCGAAAAUACAUGCCAUUAAAAUGGACAAAAGUAGAUGUAUGUAAAACUAAAAUAUAUCUAGAUAUAUCUUUUUUUAUUCAGUUUGAUGACAAGUAUUUCCGGACGAAGGAAGUAGUUG
rfam:Triticum urartu cultivar G1812 contig124794, whole genome shotgun sequence.